GGAAUAUAACAAUGGUGCUGCACCUAUUUACAUAAAAAAACUGCAGACAUUUUUCAUGAAGGGACAGAUGACACACAUCUCAGCCUAAAUACCAAUCACCAGCCAUGUAUAACCCUAUGGAAAAUGAGGCCGGGGACAGAUCUCUGCCCAAUUCAUGCUAAUCAAUAUCCACUUUUAUAUAUAAACAACCCAACCAUUUCUAAUCGACAGAGGAAAAUGAGGUUGGGGUCAGAUCUAAGAUUAAAUAAAAAGGAAGAGGGGAGAAGAUAGGAUAAGCUCGCAUCGGUCAGAUGAUCCACCGCUCCUUCCCGGACCUCCAGCCCCGCCUUGCCUUCAUUCCCGUUUACGGACGGACGAGGCCGCCGAUCCAUUUCGCUCACGCAUCCGCCACGAGCAGCGCCAAGAACAGCGCGAGCGGCAGAGUGCUGGAGAUGGGAGGGAGAAUAGAUGGAUGCAGGCAGAUGGGACAGGGAAGGGAGGAGGAGAGUACUCCCUCCGCCGGAGAUGAGGACGUGCCCGGCGAUACGGCAAAGGCGACGGGGCGGCGAGAUGCGAGUCGCAGGAGAGAAAGAAAAGCGAGGAGAGCGGCGCGAGUCGCAGGAGACAAGAGGAUGCGAGAGAAUACCCCGUUUGCUUGAGUGGGUGCAUGCGCGGAUGCAGGCUUGGGGAAACGGACGAAACUUGCGUUUCCCCUCAGCCUGGCUGACAGCCUCGUUUUGCAUCUGUCGGGCC
rnacentral:rRNA from 1 species